rnacentral:rRNA from 1 species
UAGGGAAUAUUAGAAAUGGACGAAAGUCUGAUCUAGCAACACCGCGUGUGCGAUGAAGGCCUUCGGGUCGUAAAGCACUUUUUGGAAGGAAUAGGAAGGAAUGUACUUCCAGAAUAAGUCUCGGCUAACUACGUGCCAGCAGCCGCGGUAACACGUAGGAGGCAAACGUUAUCCGGAUUUACUGGGCGUAAAGCGCGUGUAGGUGGUACUGUAAGUAGGGCGUGAAAGCUCCUGGCUCAACUGGGAGAGGCCGUUCUAAACUACAG